CCUAAAGUCCUGUCCCAAUCUUGUCCUUGUUCUUUCCCAAUACUUUUCUAUUGGAGCUAAGAACAAAAGAAACAUUGCGUGAGUUUAAAAGCAACCCUGCGAAAGACAUGAUAGCGGUUUUAGGACCUAGGAAGGAACAGUGUCAGUAAGUUUUACUUUCGCUGUAGUUCUUUAUAACGCAGACAACCUGUAUUCUAUCGCCUAGAUCAGGAGUCACAUUUUCAUGUCAACAUAAUUAUGAUAAUACUUUAGUAAUGAUAAGUUAUUUAUUUAUGGGUUAAUAUUAUUUUUCAUUUAGAUACUUCUUUAACUAUAUGUGAAUGAGGCAGUCCAUCACGCGCUUCUGUGAUGUUUUAACAGCAUUAACAUCUUCCUCAAAGUCAUUCUCUACGACGAGACUACGUCUCCGGUCAAAUGCCAGCUGAGUUGUGACUAAAUUUGCACUGCUCGUCAGCACAGCAGUAGUGAAGAGGAGAGUGAAGGGCAGACGACUGCAGAGCCGAACGAAAGAAGGGGUGAGGGUGACGACUAUCGCUACAGAACUGAACAAUGUUGUAAUAUUAGUCACCUUUGCGUUGUUACGCGUCCGAGUGAUUUAAAACUGAGAUGCCCCCCGGAGUUAGUUUUCUUUAUUUUUUGUAAGUACUUGAACUUUUGUUGUUGUGUUAAAUCAUAUAUGCCCAUAUCACAUUUUUAAAAAAUCGUAUCUGAAAUCCCCUUCUUUACCCAUUGCGGCUCAUUGUAAAUCUUAGUUCAGAUAUUUAGGAAAAAAAUGGCUCUUUGCUUUAAAAAGGUUGCCGACCCCUGGCCUAGAUAAUUAAAAAAAUGUUUUAAAUAGUGACUGAAUCUACUACCCCGACUAAUGCUUUAAUUCCAAUUAUUUCUUUCAGCCCAGUUCGUUUAAAAUCAUUAAUUAAAACUACAAACACAAAAUAAACUGUGAAUUAUACUGUUGUGAAACUGCAAAAAUGCUUGCAUCUGGAAUACUGAAAAAUCACUUGUGAUGUAAAAUUUAAAUUGAUUAUAAAUUUGUUUAAUAAUUA